rnacentral:rRNA from 1 species
AGAGUUUGAUCCUGGCUCAGGAUCAACGCUGGCGGCGUGCAUAAGACAUGCAAGUCGAACGAGUUCAGCUUGCACCGGGUAACUGAGUGGCGAACGGCUGAGUAACGCGUGGGUGACCUGCCCCCGAGUGGGGAAUAACUGCCCGAAAGGGUGGCUAAUACCGCAUGUGAUCGUUCUUUCUUUGGAUCGGCGGAGAUCAAAGCCAGCAAUCGCAAGACCUGGCGCUUUGGGAGGGGCCUGCGUCCGAUUAGCUCGUUGGUGAAGGUAAUGGCUCACCAAGGCGACGAUCGGUAGGUGGUCUGAGAGGACGAUCACCCAGACUGGGACUGAGACACGGCCCAGACUCCUACGGGAGGCAGCAGUGGGGAAUUGUUCGCAAUGGGCGCAAGCCUGACGACGCAACGCCGCGUGGAGGAUGAAGGUCUUCGGAUUGUAAACUCCUGUUGCCAGGGACGAAAAGCUCCGACCUAACACGUCGGAGUCUGACGGUACCUGGUGAGGAAGCCCCGGCUAACUCUGUGCCAGCAGCCGCGGUAAUACAGAGGGGGCUAGCGUUGUUCGGAAUUACUGGGCGUAAAGGGCGCGUAGGCGGCCCGCUAAGUCGAACGUGAAAUCCCCGGGC